CCUGCAUUGAGUUUUAAUAAUAAGCUUACCUGCCGCAGCUCGCCUGCCAGGUGGUUUUCUUAAUUAGUUAAUUGGUUGCAUCUGGUGCGUUUCACUUAAAAGGGAACCGGACAGUACAUUUGUUUGUGUACUGUUUUGCUGAAGUCUGUUGUGACUUAUUUAACAUUCCAGUUUCACAGGUUAAAGACUUUUUGAAGUAAAGAGGAGCAUCUCAACUGAACCUGAUGUCUAUCAUGGAUAUUUAACUGCAGUUCUGUGAGUAUCCCAACUUAACCAUGAAGCAUAACUGCAAAAUGUAAGUCAUUAAUUUCUCAUUACUCUUGGGCACAUUGAUGUAUUUUGGCUUCCUGGUGAGUUAACCUGUUACCUGAAGGUUGAUCUGAGUAGCAAGGAUGUUUUAUUGGUUCAUGGGUGUUUGCUUUAUGCUGGUUUUAAUGAUUUGUUAAAAUGGUUACAGGCUCCAAGUUAUUGUUGUAAGCUGGAGUAAUGGGUUGGGUUCUGAUAUCUUCAGUCUUCUUUCAUUCUACUCUCCUGAGCUCUGCAUCUUCAUCACUUGAGUGUUGCUUUACUGAUGAGGAUGUGGUCUGAGUGAGCAGAGGUGCAUGCUGGGAUACAGAGCUGUCUGAAGUCUACAGGUCUGUAGACAUGCCCCCUCAGGGGAAACCGAGUGUUUGAGAAACUGUCGUGACGUCAGUUACGUGGACUGGAAUGUUCUUAAAGAUGGAGACAGGGAUUCAGAAGGAGAAACACCAGGGGGAGAUGAAGGGGCUCCUCAUCUCAACGACUAAAACACAACUUCAGUCUGACACAGAGAACCAUGGAACACAUUCAACAGUCCCCUCCAGGCAUCGUGACUCCUCAGGAACAGUUUCAUUUCCAAGAAGGUCUUAUUUGGGGCCAUCCCCAUAUGGAUCCUGCUCCUCAAGAGCCACACUGAACAGAUGACCUUCUUCCUGUCCUCAGGCUGACUAAAGCUGCACCGUUUGCAUCUGUGAAGGCCCCUCAUUCAGGAAAACAGUGGACUACAAAGACGUGACUUCUGGGACACAUUUUGGAGACGCCAAGCAUAAUCCAUCACCAAUGUGGGACGCCACUGAAGAAUGUUAAUAAUUUACGUCUCUGGAGACAUUGGUUGUUCUGUUAUGGGUGCCCUGGCAGGAGAGCUGGGGGGGGGUGAUGGAAUGUUAUUUGCUAUGAGGUUUUUACCCUGCAUGAUUGUUUGGCUAUUUAUGGCUCAGUGGUGAGUGUGUGUGUGUUUGGGUUUGACAUGAGAUGGAAGAUUUUUGAGCAUCGGUAGGGUUCUACUGUGUGUGUGUGUGUGUGUGUGUGUGUCUCUCACUCACACCUGGCAUGGGGUUCUACGUGCCUGUCCUGGGUUCUGUGUGUGUGUGUGUGUGUCCGGCUUGCUUUGACAGUGAUAAUGUUCAUACGGGGGUCUGUGUGAUUGGCUUGGGAUAUUGGAAUGGUCAACUAAAUCAUACCUGAUGGACGGCCACACGUUUACUUCAGGGCCUCCAGUAGACAUGAAGAGCCCUGAGCGAUGCUCCGGAGCGAGAUCCAACACACUGGGCAGGAAGGAGUGUAUCCAACUCAAGUGUAAAAGGAUGCAAGCGGCGUGUUCAGAUCAGUGACUUCAAACUAGGACUACACCAAUCAGGAUCAAUGGAGGAUGGACACCAAAAGGAAUUCCACAAGGAGAGUCUGACGUUGGAAAGGGACCUAAAUGGAUAUUCAAGAUGACCUUCAGACCUGUAAUGAGACGGCUCUUCCUACCUGGUUGGAUUGAUGGAGAGCCCUCUGGAUCUUGUCUUGCUCUCAGUUGCACAUCUUCUCAUGCUGAACUGUAAUUGUUUCGGACAGGACUAGCUAUACGAUUGGUUCCCUUAAAUCAGAACCAAUCCGGGAACUCAAGCUGGUGCGCUCUUCGAACUGAAGUUGUGCUCUUCAGCUGAGGAGGUAAGGAAACCUUCACUGGGGCUUCAAGGUGUAAAGAGGAGAAUGUUUCAAAGUGUUCCAUGGUACUCUGAUGAAGACCGUUGUUGUGUUCUACUGGCUGCGAGGAAGAACCCACACAUCUUCCUCUUGGCCUUUCUCCUCUGAGAAUCCUGGCGCCAUCUUGUAGGAUAUUCCAGCUCAUGUAACUGAUGUCACGACAGAUUCUCAAACACUUGGUUUCUCCUGAGGGGCGUGUCUAUGGAACUGAAGACUUCAGACAGCACUGUAUCCCAGCAUGGAUCUCUGCUCACUCAGACCACACCCCCAUGAGUAGGAUGCAACACUCUAGUGAUGGAGAUGUAUAGUUUUAUAAGUAACGAGGGAGCAGACUAAGGUCCUUAGAACACAAUGGAAUGUCAAGUCUGUAAAUCCUUAAGAUGGUUGGAUAGUUCAGGAAUUGGGUUUCUUUUUAUUAUGGGCAGUCCUUUCACUCAGAUGCCCACUUCCCACUGGAGCUGUACAUGUGUUGGCUGGCUGGCCUGAUUUGCUGUUGGUGAUGAGGCGGUCAGGGUGACGUUGCAGGGCUAUGGUCGGCUCUCUGUGAGCUCAACGUUUAGAUUUGCCCUGUAUGGUUUGUACCCUGAAUAAUCUAGAUAAUUGUAAAAAGUAGACACGGUUUUGUAUUGAAUGAUUCCCGGAUUUUAGGUUUAAAGUUGUUGUGGGACGUACAUGGUAGUUUGGUUCUUCGUAUGGUUUUGAGUGAUAUAACUUUUACACACUGGGUGCAUAAUAAUGUAAAGGUACACUGAAUAGUAUUAAUGACCAACAGCAACAAACAGAUCUCCUCAAGGUAAGUCUGUUGGCUGUGUUUUAAUGAAGACCAUCGCUGGACUUCAGGAUCUUCCUCCGUUCAGCUCAAGGUGAGGCGCUGGUUCGGUUUUUUCUUUGGUUGGUUCCGGCCGGAAUGUUCGGAUUCCAGUCGGACGGUUUGUGCUUCCCGCCGUGGAAGGUUCUGAGUGCGGUCACUUGAUUUAGUCCCAAUGGUUAGCAUAGAACGUUGUAGUCUUGACAACCAUAAGAAACCUCCCUAUCUUAAACAACUAAAAUUUUAUAUCAAAUACAUGCUGAGACGUACGUCGUACAAUAUGUUGAUAAUUUCCGUUGGUUGCGCCGUACUUUUAACCAUGAUGACGUUGCGGGACUCUCACUGCGUACAAAACAGCGUUCUACUUGCGUGCCCAUUUUUGACAUCAGGGAAGGCUCAUUUCAUUUCAUUUCAUGGUAGAAGAUAAUUUGACAUUUCUUCAACGGAACCCAGCACCUGAAUAUGGCUGAGUAUAUUUGAUUUAAUAUCGAUACUGCUUAGUGUUCUUUGUUACUUCAGCUUUUGUACGUUCUAAAUAUCUGCUGUCAUUAAUUGCCACAGAAGUUAAACCCUACCCAAUGGAAUGACGUUAAACAAUGACUUUGGUGCAGAGUUACCAACUGGAUAAUUUCAAAGCUAAAAUAAUGGCCGUCAUUCCCACAUGUUACAGUAGAAGAUACUCUAGAACUGUACAAGGUUAAAAAGGUAACAUGUAGAUUGUCCCAAGGUGUCUGCCUCCUCACCCAGAGCAAGACCUCCACCUCCUCACCCAGCGCCAGACCUCCAACUCCUGUCAGAAGUCCUCCAGAACAGCUGAAAGGGGAGGCUGAGAGGCUGGGGACCGGAGGCUUGUGGUGCCAGGGUGGACCGGAGACUGAGGCUGGAGACCAGGGGCCUGCAGCACCGGACCAGAGGACCAGGAAUCCAUGGCUGAAGGAGCUGAUGGAGGAGCCGUGCUGUUGGAGGAGCCGUGCUGAAGGCCCUGCCUUGUGGAGGAGCUGGUGGAGGCCCUGCCUGGUGAAGGACGUCUGUCGUGGGACCAGGACUCUGUCUGAGGAGAGCUGCUGGAGGAGCUGAGACGCUGGAGGACGACUAGGAAUCGAAUCGACCAACAAGGAUUCCUCAACGUGUUUCUGGAGCGGAGGCGAGCUGGUGGGGGAGCCGUGAAUCUGGAGGAUGACCAUCACUCUACCAACAAGGAUUACUUUAGGGCCAGACUCGCGCUAUUUGUUCCAGACCAGGACUCUGGCUGAGGAGAGCUGAUGGAGGAGCCAAGACUCUGGAGGACGACAUCACUCCACCAACCAGGAUCCUCACACACCUGAGCUGAACCUCACCUGAUCCUGUUUGGUCGGGGGUAGACACACCUGAGCUAAACCCGCCCUGAUCCUGACAUCCUGCUGGUCCCGUCUCCUCAGUUCAUCUGAGCCUCGUCCUCCAGAAGACCGCUGAGCUCAGCUGUCUGAGGCUGAUGGAUCAAUGACCUCCAGUGGGAAUGAUCUUCUUGACCCCACAUGUAACCGUGUGCUUCCACACGCCUUUCCCUCACGUCUGUCACUAACCUCACUACUUCACUACUCUCUACUGCUUCCUCUUUUCUUCCUUCUCUGUGGUUCAAACCUUUUACACUGAAGGCGCGUCUUCCUGCCCUCAGAGGGUUUAGCGUUAGGGUUGAGAGUCAGGGUUUAGUGUCAGGGACAGAGCUGGUCAGGGAGGACUGCUUUUACACAAACCUCUUCACUUGCUUUCGGAAUGGUGGUGACAUUUUGAAAAGAUUAAUUUGGGAAAAUGUUUUCCUCUGCUUUCCUUUAAAAAAUUUGUAUUAAACUUCUGUCAAGUGUUUUUGUUUAUAUAUUAAAAUCCCACAUUGACUUCUACAUGUUUGGUGCGGUUCAUUUAAUUGUCCUUUAACUUGGUUAAUGUCAAGCUAAACCCCUGCAAUACAUUUAAUAUACAUGAUUGUUAUUCAGCAAUGUUCACAUAAUCCAUUUUGUAAAAAUAUGAAACCUCCAUAUUACUACUAAGU